rnacentral:lncRNA from 10 species
CCCACCCGACCCAAAAGCCCAGCCGGCUUCACCUCUCAAUAGAAUCAAAAGCAGUAAAGUUCAGAGCUGGGUGGUCAUAUAUGAAUCACUUAACCUUUCUUUCUUUUUUCCUUAAAAUAGAGAUGGGGUCUGCUAUGCUGCCCUGGCUGGUUUUAAACUCCUGGGCUCAAGUGAUCCUCCCACCUCGGCCUCCCAAAGUGCUCAGAUUACAGGCCUGAGCCACCGCUCCCGGCCUGAAUCAGUUAACCUUUCUGGGCAUUCAUAUCAUUGACUAUAAAAUGGGGGUAGUGUUAGUUUAUGCUUCCCAGAUUGCAGAUGAGAAUCUAAAUAUCUGCCCACAACCCCCAAUGGGAGGUACAGGAGCCAACCAAGCAAGCCAUGGUCAGGAUCUGGUUCCUGGAGGCUGGAAUCCGGGGAAGCCAGAGAGGAGAGAGCCAGAAGUAAUGGCGAGGUUGGAGCACUCUGGCCAGGCUCCCUGUCCAAGAUCCUUCAGCCUCAUCCUAAGGUUCCUCAGCAGCCUUUGCUCAUAGGCUGGCUUAACUAUGAUCCUGCUGUGGGAAGAUAAAAAAACUGACCGAAGGAGAUAGGCUGAGUAAUGGCUCCCUCAAGAUGUCCAUAUUUCAUCCCUGGAACCUGUGAAUACAUUUCUUUAUGUGGCAAAAGGGACUUUGUGGCUGUGAUUAAACUAAGAACCUUGAAAUGAGGAGAUUCUCCGGGAUCGUCCAGAUGCAUCAAAUGUAACAAGAAGGAGUCAGAGUCAGGCUGGAAGCCGCUAUGCUGCUGGCUUUGAAGGCAGAUGAAGGGGCCAAGGAAUUAGGGUGGUCUCUAGAAUCUGGAAAAGGCAAUGAAAUUGAUUCUCCCCUAGAGCUUUCAGAAGGAAUGCAGCCUUGCCCACACCUUCAUUUUAGACCAGUGAAACUGAUUUUAGACUUCUGACUGCCAGAACUGUAAGAUAAUAAAUGUAUAUUGUUUGAAGCUACUAGGUUUGUGGUCAUUUGUUACAUCAGCAACAG